rnacentral:pre_miRNA from 1 species
CAUCUAUUCCCUCUGUCCGGAAAUACUUGUCAUCAAAAUGGAUAAAAGGGGAUGUAUCUAGACGUAUUUUAGUUCUAGAUACAUCUCAUUUUAUCCAUUUUGAUGACAAGUAUUUUUGGACGGAGGGAGUAUAUG